rnacentral:rRNA from 1 species
GACGAACGCUGGCGGCGUGCUUUACACAUGCAAGUCGAACGGAAAGGCCCUGCUUUUGUGGGGUGCUCGAGUGGCGAACGGGUGAGUAACACGUGAGUAACCUGCCCUUGACUUUGGGAUAACUUCAGGAAACUGGGGCUAAUACCGGAUAGGAGCUCCUGCUGCAUGGUGGGGGUUGGAAAGUUUCGGCGGUUGGGGAUGGACUCGCGGCUUAUCAGCUUGUUGGUGGGGUAGUGGCUUACCAAGGCUUUGACGGGUAGCCGGCCUGAGAGGGUGACCGGCCACAUUGGGACUGAGAUACGGCCCAGACUCCUACGGGAGGCAGCAGUGGGGAAUAUUGCACAAUAGGCGGAAGCCUGAUGCAGCAACGCCGCGUGCGGGAUGACGGCCUUCGGGUUGUAAACCGCUUUCGCCUGUGACGAAGCGUGAGUGACGGUAAUGGGUAAAGAAGCACCGGCUAACUACGUG